GGGAGCCCAGUGCGUGAAUCGCGCACGCUGGGAUCUGUGCGGGGGGCGCUCAGCAAUGGGCGUCCCUACCGCGAU
rnacentral:autocatalytically_spliced_intron from 1 species